GAUGAAGAACGUAGCGAAAUGCGAUAAGUAAUGCGAAUUGCAGAAUUCAGUGAGUCAUCGAAUCUUUGAACGCACAUUGCGCCCUGUGGUAUUCCGCAGGGCAUGCCUGUUCGAGCGUCAUUUCAACCCUCAAGCUCUGCUUGGUGUUGGGCCCUGCCCGCUGCGGCCGGCCCUAAAGACAGUGGCGGUGCCGCCUGGCCCUGAGCGUAGUACAUCUCUCGCUCCAGUGCCCGGUGGUAGCCUGCCAGAACCCCAACUCUCGUGGUUGACCUCGGAUCAGGUAGGGAUACCCGCUGACCUUAAGCAUAUCAAUAAGCGGAGGA
rnacentral:misc_RNA from 1 species